GGGUAGUCCUGGCCGUAAACGAUGUUCACUAGGUGUAGGAUGUCGACGGGCAAACUUUGCUGAAGCAAACGCGAUAAGUGAACCGCCUGGGGAGUACGUCCGCAAGGAUGAAACUCAAAGGAAUUGACGGGGGCCCGCACAAGCGGUGGAGCGUGUGGUUUAAUUCGAAGCUAAGCGAAGAACCUCACCAGGUCUUGACAUAUAGGGAGUAGGGAAGCGAAAGCGGACCGACCCCAGUUACUAGGGAGCCUAUACAGGUGGUGCAUGGUCGUCGUCAGCUCGUGCCGUGAGGUGUUGGGUUAAGUCCCGCAACGAGCGCAACCCUUGUUUUUAGUUGCCAGCAUUAAGGUGGGCACUCUAAAAGAGACUGCCGUCGAAGAGACGGAGGAAGGGAGGGGACGACGUCAGAUCAUCAUGCCCCUUAAUGAUCUGGGCUACACACGCGCUACAAAUGGGGUUAGGCAGAAGGGCGAAAACUGCGAAGUGGAGGGGGAAUCCUAAAACUAACCCCAGUUCAG
rnacentral:rRNA from 1 species